rnacentral:sRNA from 1 species
AUGUUGAGAGUCAAAAACACUCUUCAACAUCACAGUCACAGAUUUCUCCAAAGUCCUGGGGAGUAGCUACAGCAAGCCUCAUACCAAAUGACCAGCUCCUGCCCAGGAAGUUGAACACGGAACCCAAAGAUGUGCCUAAGCCUAUGCAUCAGCCUGUAGGUUCUUCCUCUACCCUUCCGAAGGAUCCAGUAUUGAGGAAAGAAAAACUGCAGGAUCUGAUGACUCAGAUUCAAGGAACUUGUAACUUUAUGCAAGAGUCUGUUCUGGACUUUGACAAACCUUCAAGUGCAAUUCCAACGUCACAACCGCCUUCAGCUACUCCAGGUAGCCCCGUAGCAUCUAAAGAACAAAAUCUGUCCAGUCAAAGUGAUUUUCUUCAAGAGCCGUUACAGGCAGCAAUUCCCCCAGGCAAGCAACCGUCUUCACUAGCUUCUCCAAAUCCUCCCAUGGCAAAGGGCUCUGAACAGGGCUUCCAGUCACCUCCAGCAAGUAGUAGUUCAGUAACCAUUAACACAGCACCCUUUCAAGCCAUGCAGACAGUAUUUAAUGUUAAUGCACCUCUGCCUCCACGAAAAGAACAAGAAAUAAAAGAAUCCCCUUAUUCGCCUGGCUACAAUCAAAGUUUUACCACAACAAGUACACAAACACCACCCCAGUGCCAACUGCCAUCUAUACAUGUAGAACAAACUGUCCAUUCUCAAGAGACUGGUAAGAUCUUUGCAUAUGAUAUUUGGAAGACUUAGAGGGACAGCCAAUUGAAUGGACAGCAAGUCUAGCAAGUCUGUAGUGACACUUAGAAGUAUUUUCCUGACUAGUAAGCAUUAUUUCUUCACAUGUUCCUCCAGUGUUGAGAAAAACCUAAUGCCCUUUUCUGUGUUAAGUUUACCUAUUAAUUUUAAUUUUCGUAGAGAUAGAACUUAGAUGA